rnacentral:rRNA from 1 species
UGGAUCUCCGCAUUACUUGGAUAACUGUGGUAAUUCUAGAGCUAAUACACGCAAUCGAGCCCCAACCUUACGGGACGGGCGCAUUUAUUAGUACAAAACCAAUCAGUGCUCGCACUGUGGUUUGGUGAAUCUGAAUAACUGAGCAGAUCGCUUCGGUCUUUGUACCGGCGAUGUAUCCUUCAAGUGUCUGCCUUAUCAACUUUCGAUGGUAGUUUAUGUGCCUACCAUGGUUGUAACGGGUAACGGAGAAUUAGGGUUCGACUCCGGAGAGGGAGCCUGAGAAACGGCUACCACUUCUAAGGAAGGCAGCAGGCGCGCAAAUUACCCACUCUCGGCACGAGGAGGUAGUGACGAAAAAUAACGAGAUGAUUCUCUAUGAGUAUCAUCAUCGGAAUGAGAACAAUCCAAACCCUUUAACGAGGACCUAGCGGAGGGCAAGUCUGGUGCCAGCAGCCGCGGUAAUUCCAGCUCCGCCAGUGUAUAUCUAUGCUGCUGCGGUUAAAAAGCUCGUAGUUGGAUCUGCGUGCUAGGAGCCGGUCCGCCUUUUGGGUGUGCACUGAACUCCAGCACUGAAUCGCUGGUUUUCCCUUAAUGCCUUUAACCGGGUGUUCUGGGUGACUAGCAUGUUUACUUUGAAAAAAUUAGAGUGCUCAAAACAAGCGUUUUGCUUGAAUAUUCGUGCAUGGAAUAAUAGAAUAGGACCUUGGUUCUAUUUUGUUGGUUUUCGGAACACGAGGUAAUGAUU